rnacentral:misc_RNA from 1 species
GAUGAAGAACGUAGCGAAAUGCGAUAAGUAAUGUGAAUUGCAGAAUUCAGUGAAUCAUCGAAUCUUUGAACGCACAUUGCGCCCGCCAGUAUUCUGGCGGGCAUGCCUGUCUGAGCGUCAUUUCAACCCUCAUGCCCCUAGGGCGUGGUGUUGGGGAUCGGCCAAAGCCCGCGAGGGACGGCCGGCCCCUAAAUCUAGUGGCGGACCCGUCGUGGCCUCCUCUGCGAAGUAGUGAUAUUCCGCAUCGGAGAGCGAUGAGCCCCUGCCGUUAAACCCCCAACUUUCCAAGGUUGAGCUCAGAUCAGGUAGGAAUACCCGCUGAACUUAAGCAUAUCAAUAAGCGGAGGA